CCUACGGGAGGCAGCAGUGAGGAAUUUUCUGCAAUGGGCGAAAGCCUGACAGAGCAAUACCGCGUGAGGGAUGAAGACUUACUGAGUUGUAAACCUCGGUGCCUUAAGGAAGAAGAUCUGACGGUACUUAAGGUGGAAAGCAUCGGCUAACUCCGUGCCAGCAGCCGCGGUAAGACGGGGGAUGCAAGUGUUAUCCGGAAUUACUGGGCGUAAAGCGUCUGCAGGUGGUUUUAUAAGUCUGCUGUUAAAUCUUGAGGCUCAACCUCAAAUCUGCAGUGGAAACUAUAAGACUUGAGUAUAGUAGGGGUAGAGGGAAUUUCCAGUGGAGCGGUGAAAUGCGUAGAUAUUGGAAAGAACACCGAUGGCGAAGGCACUCUACUGGGCUAUUACUGACACUCAGAGACGAAAGCUAGGGGAGCAAAUGGGAUUAGAUACCCCAGUAGUCCUAGCCGUAAACGAUGGAUACUCGAUGUUGGACGUAUCGACCCGUUCAGUAUCUUAGCUAACGCGUUAAGUAUCCCGCCUGGGGAGUACGCUCGCAGAGUAGAACGUACAAUAGAGUUAGUACGGCGUGAGACGUCGCCGACGGACGACGACGAGGGAGUUAGG
rnacentral:rRNA from 1 species